AAAAAAGCAGCGAAAAAUGAGAGAAUGCAUAUCGAUCCACAUUGGUCAGGCCGGUAUUCAGGUCGAAAAUGCAUGCUUGGAACUUUACUGCCUUGAGCAUGGCAUUUAGCCUGAUGACCAUAUGCCAGGCGACAAGACAGUUGGAGUAGGUGAUGAUGCAUUCAACACCUUCUUUAGUGAAACUGGAGCUGAAAAGCAUGUUCCCGGUGUUGUCUUUGUGGAUCUUGAGCCUACUGUCAUUGAUAAAGUCAGGACAUGAACAUAUAGGCAACUCUUUUACCCUGAUCAGCUCAUCAGUGGAAAAGAAGAUGCAGCCAAAAACUUUGCCCGUGGACAUUAUACAAUUGAGAAGGAGAUAGGUGAUCUCUGCUUGGAUCGUAUUAGGAAGCUACGGUUGUACUGGUCUUCAAGGUCUCCUGGUUUUCAAUGAUUUUGGUGGUGGAACUGGUUCAGGUCUUGGGUCACUUCUGCUGGAGCAUCUCUCUAUCGACUAUGGAAAGAAAUCAAAACUUGGUUUCACCUUUUAUCCAUCACCACAGGUCUCUACCUCUGUGGUGGAACCUUACAACAGUGUCCUGUCGACCCACUCCCUUCUUAAGCACACUGAUGUUGCAAUUCUUCUUGACAAUGAGCUAGGCCAUUUUUGUGACAUUUGCAAGCACUCAUUGGACAUUGAGCGCCCGACAUACACCAGUAUUAACCGUCUUAUUUCACAGGUUAUCUCUUCACUUACUGCUUCUUUGAGGUUUGAUGAAGCCCUAAUGUUUAUGUCAAUGAAUUCCAGACCAACCUUGUUCCCUACCCCAGGAUUCAUUUUAUGCUUUCUCAUCCGAUGCUUCUGUCAUUUCAACCGAGAAGGCCUACCAUGAGCAGUUGUCACUUGCAGAGAUCACCAACAGUGCUUUUGAGCCAUCUUCCAUGAUGGUCAAGUGUGAUCCUCACCACGGGAAGUACAUGGCUUGCUGCCUUAAGUUCCGUGGUGAUAUUGUGACAAAGGAUGUGAAUAUUGUUGUGGCUACUAAGCGCACCAUCCAAUUUGUUGACUGGUGCCCUACUGGAUUCAAGUGUGGUAUCAACUAUCAGCCAACAUGUUCAAGGUGCAAAGGUAUGUAUGUAUGAUUUCCAACUCAACCAAUGUUGCUGAGGUCUUCUCACGCAUUGAGCACAAAUUUGAUAUGAUGUAUGCCAAGCGUUCUUUUGUGCACUGGUAUGUUGGUGAGGGUAUGGAGGAAGGUGAGUUCAGUGAAGCACGUGAAGAUCUAGCAGCUUUGGAAAAGGAUUACAGGAGGUUUGGUGCUGAACUGGAAGAAGGAGGCGAUGAUGAUCACGAGGAAUACUAAAACCCCCACACAAAUUUAUACAA